AGCGAACGCUGGCGGCAGGCCUAACACAUGCAAGUCGAACGAACCCUUCGGGGUUAGUGGCGGACGGGUGAGUAACACGUGGGAACGUGCCUUUAGGUUCGGAAUAACUCAGGGAAACUUGUGCUAAUACCGAAUGUGCCCUUCGGGGGAAAGAUUUAUCGCCUUUAGAGCAGUCCGCGUCUGAUUAGCUAGUUGGUGAGGUAAUGGCUCACCAAGGCUACGAUCAGUAGCUGGUCUGAGAGGAUGACCAGCCACAUUGGGACUGAGACACGGCCCAAACUCCUACGGGAGGCAGCAGUGGGGAAUCUUGCGCAAUGGGCGAAAGCCUGACGCAGCCAUGCCGCGUGGAUGAUGAAGGUCUUAGGAUUGUAAAAUCCUUUCACCGGUGAAGAUAAUGACUGUAGCCGGAGAAGAAGCCCCGGCUAACUUCGUGCCAGCCGCCGCCGUAAAAC
rnacentral:rRNA from 1 species